rnacentral:rRNA from 1 species
GACGAACGCUGGCGGCGUGCUUAAUACAUGCAAGUCGAGCGGUAAGGCCCUUUCGGGGGUACACGAGCGGCGAACGGGUGAGUAACACGUGGGUGACCUGCCCUCAGCUCUGGGAUAAGCCUGGGAAACUGGGUCUAAUACCGGAUAUGACUCCAUGACGCAUGUUGUGGGGUGGAAAGCCUUGUGCGGCUGAGGAUGGGCCCGCGGCCUAUCAGCUUGUUGGUGGGGUGANGGCCUACCAAGGCGACGACGGGUAGCCGGCCUGAGAGGGCGACCGGCCACACUGGGACUGAGACACGGCCCAGACUCCUACGGGAGGCAGCAGUGGGGAAUCUUGCGCAAUGGGCGAAAGCCUGACGCAGCGACGCCGCGUGAGGGAUGACGGCCU